GCCUUCCCGCUCUCUCUCUCUUUCUCUCUCUCUCUUGCGUGUCAAUCAAGUCUCCGUAGCCACGCCUCUCCGCUCCCUCCACCUCUCGGCUCCGCUCGGCUCAGCAGACGGACGCUUUUUUCCUCAGCUCCCGAUUUUUCAAACCUCAGACCCCAGGAAUUUAAGACCCCCACCCCACUCCCCACCCCCACCCCCACCUCUCCAAGGAGGAGGCCAGGCCCAGCGGGGGCGCGAACCCUGGAAAUGGAGCCUUCCGCGGCGGGAGGCAGCCGCCGCCGCCAGGAGGACGUGAGUGGGGGAGGGCAGCGUUCGCCAGGCCCGAGCGCCCGUUUUGCUCCCCCGCGCCCAAAAUGGCGGCCAAAAUCAUGGCCGAGGCACCAUUUUUCAGGAUGGCCGGGGAGAAGGAGGCGCGCAUGCGCCAGAAGGCCUCGGGCGGAGACGUUGCAAAGGCAGAGCGUGGCGGGCAACGGGGGCCCCCUGGUGGCCAAGGCCACCAGCUCCCGCGCAACUGAAGCCCUUCAGGCGGCUACCCAACCUCGGUCACCAGAUGGCGCCAGAGAGCAACUUUCUCAGCAGCAGCUUCCAAAGAUAGAAGGCGACCACGUUUCAAAUCUACUCCCAGCGGAAGGAGCUUGCGGGGAGCCGGCUCCUAAGAGGGAAAGGCCUACGCCAGAGGCUACCUUCACUCCUACAGCGGCGGGGCUCCGCCCAAGCCAGACCCAGCAGAUAGAAAUUACCCCACAACUGAUACAAAUGAUCUCAGAGUGUAUCCAUCGGGCCAUUGUCGCAAGAGUGCAAGAAAUGUGGCCGGCAGGCUCUCCAGCCCCUGUCGGCACCUUACCCCAGAGGCAGCCAACUGCAGCCAAUAACCGAAGGGGCUUACCUGUUCUUCCCAGGCCUCGUCCCCCGGCCUCUUCCAUAGAGGGAUUUUUCUCAGACGAUGAGGAAGAAAAAGAGCCAAUGCUAUCUGAAGACAAAGGAGUGGCUCCGGACCGCCCAGUUUUCGGAAAGCUCUUCAACCCUGCCUUGUUUGACACGCUUCUCCGCAAAGCCAAGGCCACAGUUGCCACGUCAGAUCCGGCCUUGGGCUUAUCUGCCCCCAGUCCUCAGCCAUUUCGAGGCAAAGGAAGUUGGCCCUUCGAAAGUCAGCGCUCACAUGGAGACCCAAAUGGCACAAGACAUGCGAAACGACAUCAGCGAGCUAGAGCUCAAAGCAGCCCACUUAGCCCUCCGACGGUUCCAGACCCUCAUCUCCAGCCUCCACAUACUCAUCCUAACAGACAACAUAGCCACAAAGACCUAUAUCAAUCGCCAAGAGGGCAUCCACUCCAGGUCCCUCAUGCGAGAAGCCAGGCACUUGGGGCACUGGGCGGAAUCGGGGCUAAUCAGGAAAGUACUGGCGGAGGGAGCGGACUUCCUACUUUUAGUUCCCCACUGACCCAGAAAGCCAUGGUUUUCCGAUCCAGUCAAUUUAUCAGUCUCCAGGCCCUAGAGGAUACCACCAGGCAAGAUCACCCUCAGUCAGGGAGUUCUCUUCUACCCAGCGCCACAAUUGAUCCAACCAACCGUUUGGCACUUGAGUGGAGAGCUCUGAAACUGGCCAACUGCUCUGACCAGGUAAUACAGACCAUUCAAGCCGCUAGGAGUCCAUCUACCAACAGGAUUUACGAUUCCAUCUGGAAAACCUUCUGCGCCUGGUGCUCCAAAGCCUCUCUUGAUCCCCUCUCAAUCUCAUUGGCCCGAAUCCUGGAGUUCCUACAGGCUGGGCUAGACGAAGGUCUAUCACCCAAUACGAUACGCAGACAAGUGGCCGCCUUGUCGUCCGUGUUAUUUGGUGAGAAAAUGGAGUCCCUCGAACAGCACCCUCUUGUGCGCAGAUUUAUCAGAGGCGCUGUUGUGAUCUCGGCAUCCCGAAACCAAGAAGCAGACUCCUCGUCCCAAUAAACCCUCUUUUAUUUAAUUUACAGUGAAUUCCUCUCCAGCAAAGUCUUUCCUCUCCCACAGUCUUUCAAGAUAGUUCACAAUUACCAACCUUUAUCAGGCUUGGAGAGUGGCCAGGCUGAUAUCUUUCAGACACCGCAAUACUUGGCAAGAAUGCAGAAAUGAACUAAUUAAGCGAACUAAUUGUCUCCUGCAAACUCCCCUCCCUGUUCGCUCCUCUUUUAUUCCCCAUGGGAGGGGCCAUUCAUCGUCCACCUGUGGCCUUACUCCCAAGUCGACCCUUGUUCUUUAGCUGUUCCCUUUGUCUGGCAACUCUGCGCAUGCGCACACUUGGAUCAAGCUCCAACUGUUCAUCUGCCACACUGAUGUCUGACUCUAAAGGCAGCUGAUAACUGUCAGACGGCCCUGGCCCUCUCUCUGCCUCCGACACAGAGCCCUCAUCAGAGCCUUCCCUAGACUCCAGGACUGGCCCAGGUUCCUCCCCAACCUCACUGUCAAAAUCUAUUGCCAGCUCUGCUGGCCGCUGGCGGGCCACAACAGGCGCAACUAACUUAAAGCCUUCGACGAUACACCAAUAUCCCACCUGGGAACUACCUACAGUCCUCCAGUCUCUCUUCUACACCCUUCGAACCUUUGCACUCCGCCAGCCUUGGUUUCCUCACCUGCAAGGUCUCCUUUCUCGUGGCUAUCACCUCGCCGAGGUGCAUCUCCGAGUUAGCAGCCCUCUCAAUACGGAAGGAUCUAUGCGUUUUCUAUCCCAACAGAGUUAUUCUUGCGCUUGGACCCUUCGUUCCCACCCAAGGUCAAGUCCUUAUUUCACAGGGCACAAGAACUGAUUUUAUCGGACUUCUGCUCUAGUCCAACCCAUGCCCUAGAGAGGAAAUGGUACACCUUGGACGUCAGGAGGGCUCUCCGCGUCUGUAUCAAGAGGACAACUUUCUUUUGGAGAUCAGAAUCCUCCUUUGUGUCAUUUCAACCCUCCACAUCGGAUAAUAAAGUCACAGCAUCAACCAUAGGCCGGUGGAUACUGGCAUUCAUCGCCAAAUCAUAAGAACUUCAGGCUCUUCCGUUGCCUCGGUGAGUGACAGCCCACUCCAUUAGAAGCGCGGCCACUACAGCAGCGUGGGCCACGCAGGCCUCCAUCAAGGAGAUACGCCGAGCAGCGACAUGGUCUUCUCCAUUUCCGUUUAUACGGCAUUAUAAGCUGGAUGCCUUCGCUUUCGCUGAAGUGGCCUUUGGCAGAUGAGUUCUCCAAAAAGUAUACACGGACUCUGGACCAGACCGCUGCCCACCCUUAGGAUGCUCCGGCUUUGGUAUGUCCCAUUCCUUGGAUUCUCUGCUCAGCACAAUGGAGAAGGGGCGUUGGUCUCACCUGACACGCUCCUUCUCGGUGUGCCCCACCCUGGCGGCCAUCUGGCCCAGAGUCCAGGAGUGGUCAAGUCAGAUAGAAAAACAAGUUCAAGUCGAUCAUUAACGCCUUCGUCAAAACUGGGGACGCAGACGCGAGAGGCGUGCCUACGAAAGUUUGACAGACUCCGUCUAAAGAGCAGGAAGGCAGAGUUAACCCCAUUCCUUGGAUUCUCUCUCAGCACAACGUGUCAGGCAGCCUACAGCAGAGUUUCCAAAGACACUACAGGUCCAAGCCUAGCCAUGGUAUCGGCCGGUAUAGACAUCUUCUCCCGCCGGAGGUGAGC